GUCACUGUUUUUCAGAAAUGGAGUUACCUGUUUUCAUUUCUGACACUGGAAGAAAUCCUUAAUCUGACAACAGUAUCUGUAGCUAACACUAGGAAAAAUGAUUUCUACCUUUGCUAAGUAUCCUGUGCUUUUUGAAGAAGGGAAGAAGGAGAACCUCACUGUUCUGCUUGCUUUCCUGACCCUUUGCUCUUUGCAAACUUGAACUGCCCGAGCUGGUUCUCUUGAUGUUUUGUGCAAUCUUUCCUCCAGUUUAUUGUAUGAGAAUACCCACCCAGCUUAAUAGUUCAAUUGACAAAAACAUAACACUAGAAAAUCCCUUUUGAUCGUUACAGUUCCCUAUCUCUGAGCUGACAGGAAGUAAUUUAGUGAAAAAAAAUAUUAAAUAAUCACAAAUAAUUAUCUAUAAAAACUAUAUUUGGUUUUAAAUGAAGUAUAUCUGAAUAGUUGAACAAUGAUUAUUGUGCCCUCCUUUUGAGAAGGAAUUCCUAAAACAGGAAUUAAAGCAGCUGAGUGAAAAGAGAAGGCAAAGUGAGCUGAGUUGUUGGAUUGUGCACUGUGGUCUGUAAGAAGAGUAGUGUCAAAAUCUGCUGUCAUACACAUCAGGCAUCUUUUAAUAUGAAAAGUCACCUGAAUGCAUUUACCCCACUUGCUUUCUUUGUCUUCCCUCCUGAAUUUUUUUCUUUUUUUUUUUUUUCUGAAGGCAUUAGAGAUUAACAUUGCUUAUCUUUAAACUUUGAUGAAAUGUAUCAGAAACCAUUGUGGCAUGCAUUGAAACUACAGCCAUGACAGUGAUCAGCUGUUGUUGCUUCUGUAUUUGAGCAAUUGUGAACUUACCCCAGUACUUUCUCCAAUCAGCUGUGCAGUUACUUGGAUCGUGUCAGAUUUGUUUGCCUUUCCAGAUCUUGUGCUCCUGAGCUACUUUGAGAACAGCUGUUCCUGGAUGGAUUUUAACGCUUCUGUUCCUGACCUGAACAAAAAUGAAGAGAUGAACGAAACCAGGAAAGGAAGUAUAGAUAAGAGUAACAUACAGCGUCCUCUAACUGAAGCCCAGCAGAAUUACAAGAGCAUUUCUGCAUCUACUGCUGUGUUAAGUCACUGCAGGUUUAAAAUCCAGAUUAGAAUUUCUAAUAGGGCAAGACUUCUAUGCAGGCCAUGUUGCAAAUGUCCUUAACAUAUUUACCGUUCUACAUGCUUGCUCAUCUUUUGGUUAAAAGCUCAGUGGCCUGGAGUGAAAUAGCUCCGAACUUAAACUGAAACUGUGAUAUUUGUCCACUUCUCACAGGAAAAGUCCUUGAGAUUGAUCUGAUUUUUUUUUUUAAUCUGAGUGGUUUUUGGUCACUUUUGCUCCUGUACCUGGCUGCUGUGUUUGCAGGCUGCAGCUUCACGGUGGCACCACCUUGUGGUCGUUGUAACAUUCGUCGGGAAAAUAAAUAGCCUGGUUCUUAAAUUUUGAAAUGACAUAAUAACAUUACAGUGUUAUCCAUCUGUAAUCUAACAGCAAUUCUCCUCCCAAAUCUUUUUAAGUACUAAAAAGCAGAUUUAAAGAAGAACACCUGCUUGCUCUCCUAAUACAGGAUGAAGAGCAAGAGUUGUUUUUUCCCUGUAAAUGUAUAGAAAACAUGGAAUCCAUUGUGAUCUUCUAUAUAACUGGAGGAUACAAAGACAAUGAAGACCCCCAUUCACAGGAUGACCAGGUUGGCAAUGGAAGUAUUGAAAUGCAGCAGCUUGUUCGUGGAAUGACUGGAGGAGAUGGAGGAGCCUGGACAUGGCGGCCGUACUUGCCAAUCAAUACCUACAAGAUUUUUGCAAACAAGUUAUAAAACAAAGUUAAUGUUUCAUGAAAUAUGGAUUCAGACUAACUCUGUGCCCCAAGCUGAGAUCAUGCUAGGGUUUGUAGUUUCUGCAUGUCGGCUAAGCAGCAAUUGCACAAUUCUCAGAGGAAAACCGAGCUUGGCCAGCAGUGUUUUCCUGGUAGUCACUAAUCUUACCAGAGAAACGGAUACCUUUUUCUAUAGUUAGCAAUCUGCCAGCCCAUUCUUUGCAUAAGUGGAAGCUUUGCUGAAUUCUCAAUGUAAAUGAUAUGGGAAAGCUAAGCAUAUGAUUUUUAUUAGUAGGUAUAACAAGAAAAAGCAUAGCAAAACAAAUGAUUCAAAGAAUGUUCCAAAUGAAUCAUGUAAAUUAAGUGCAUGACCAAAAACUGUUGUUUUGCAUAUUUUCAAUAGUUAUAAUUAACUGAAAUGUCUGGGAGCAAAAACAUGAGCAAGCCAGGAGUGGCAGCUGAGUGAAUAGUGCAGAAGCAGCUGGCUAUGUGGAGGCAAAUUCCUGCUGUCUGAGGGCAGCAGCUUGCUUCUGAAAGGAGUGACUAAAAUCAGUGAGCCCCACAAAGCAGUAAGCUGUAUUUCAACUGUAAAGAUGUAUUCUUAAAGAGUGAUGGCUGAGUGAGUGAUUCUUACCUUCCUCCAUUUUAGCAUUAGCAAUGAGCAUUUGCCUCAGAUGUUUGAGGAGUCCAUGCCAACUGAACGUGCUAUAUGCAAGGGAGUUUUCAGGCAUCUGAGGUAUGUUACGGAGACCCAACAUCUUGAAUUCAGGAUGUGGAACUAACGUCUCCAUUAAGUCUCCUGGAAAAAAAAAAAAAAGAAAUAACAGCUGCUCAUGUUUGACAAAAAUAUUGCAUAGGCUAGUUAAAAAAGAAGAAGAGCGUGAGGGAUUUUACAAAGAUUAGUAACUGAAGGUAAGAAAGCAGAGUAUGUAAAGUUUAAAUUUAACAAAUAUACAGACAUAUCUGACAAAAUGCAAAGAUUUACAACCUACCACUGAGUUUUAUACGGGCAAGUUAACAGCUCUUAUUUGACAAUUUAGAGUUGUCCUCCUUUUAGUCCGACUAAGAAUCUGAAAAGACUUUCUACGCUUCUGAAGAGGUGGAAAGGAAAAUGAGAGCUUAAUUUUACAAGCAGAUUCUUGGCAAGCCAAUCGCUUGUUGCUACCAAGUUGUGUGCUAGUGUAUUUUCUGAGCUGAACACAAAACUAGAAUUUGUUUGUACAAACUUCUAACCUAAUGUUAAUUGUUAAAACUCAGUCUAAAAUUACCGCCCAGCAGAAAUUUCCUCUGAAAGGUAAAUGAGUACAAGAGUGGUAGUCAUUUGAAAAAAGAGGAACAUGAGUCUUUUGGUAAAGAAGGAAACGAGAAGCUGGUUAUCUAUUUUUGACUCUGCUACAAAAUUAGGGUUGAAUUACUAACUUAGUCUUUCACUUCCCUAUCUAUUUUUACUAUCUUAAGCCUUGGGUUAUAUCCAAAUAGUUGAGUAAAAGAGACUGAAGAACUUAAAUUCCCCAAAUGAAAUGAUUAUAGAAAGAUGUGUAAGAAUGCCUUAAGUAUCUACUUUGCAGUUAGAUACCUAAGGGGUUUCUGCUGUAGUGUAAGCUAGCUUCUGCUGUGUGAGCAGGCUGGAAAACACUCCCCAGUUGAUGUGCAAUGACUUGAUUUACAUCCCUGAAGGAGAUCUGUUUAAUAUGCAUCAGCUGAGCACAGAUCUUGUGGAUGACAUCAUUUUCAUGAACAAGAAGAGCAUCUGAUGACUGAUACAGAUGUGACAGAGUCAAAACAGAGUUGUAGUUUUGAACAAUGACCUGGAAAAAUAAAAAAGAAAAAGAAAAAAAAAACAAACCACCAAAUGAGAGUCAAACAACUUGAUCUCUUUCUAUAGUUUAAUAUAUUCCUCUGGCUACUGUCAUUUACUCAGUUGUGGUUAAGGAAGUGAUUCAUUUUCUUUGCCAAAGUGCAGAAUAAGGUCAGGAGCUGUCACAGCUUUUUCAUGGAAAUGGAGCAAGACCUAUGAGAAUCACGUGACUCAUCUCAGUUCAGAAUGAAACUUGUCUGGGAACUGAUUACCAUACUCAGAUACUGUCAUAACAGGAGAUUUCUAGAUAGCUAGUAGAGCUUCUCAUGAAACUGCAUUAUACCACAGCACUUUUAUAAGUAGAUUUUAAAUGUUUUCUUACAAGCUUGAGAUAUCCAUGAUUUUUUUUAUUUGAUUGAUGAUAGUCUUGAUUUUUUUUUUAAUGAAACUACAUUAAACUACCAAAUAUGAGGCAAACAAAUUGCUUUGUGUCACGUGGAACUUUCAAAGAAUGAAGUGUUUCUCUUUUCUAGUUUA